UACAGAGGUGGCAAGCGUUGCUCGGUAUCACUGGGCUUAAAGGGCGCGUAGGCGGCUGGACAAGUCAAAGGUGAAAUCCCUCGGCUCAACUGAGGAACUGCCUUUGAAACUGUCCGGCUUGAGGCCGGGAGGGGGUAGCGGAAUUCCCAGUGUAGCGGUGAAAUGCGUAGAUAUUGGGAGGAACACCAGUGGCGAAGGCGGCUACCUGGACCGGUUCUGACGCUGAUGCGCGAAAGCGUGGGGAGCAAACAGG
rnacentral:rRNA from 1 species